rnacentral:tRNA from 1 species
GCCAGCGUAGCUUAAAUUAAAGCAUGACACUGAAAGAUGUUAAAAUGAGCCAAAAAAAGCUCCGCAAGCA